AUGCAGUCGACGAUGAUCCCAGCUUGCUGGGGGAUUAGUGGCGAACGGGUGAGUAACACGUGAGUAACCUGCCCUUGACUCUGGGAUAAGCCUGGGAAACUGGGUCUAAUACCGGAUAUGACUCCUCAUCGCAUGGUGGGGGGUGGAAAGCUUUUGUGGUUUUGGAUGGACUCGCGGCCUAUCAGCUUGUUGGUGGGGUAAUGGCCUACCAAGGCGACGACGGGUAGCCGGCCUGAGAGGGUGACCGGCCACACUGGGACUGAGACACGGCCCAGACUCCUACGGGAGGCAGCAGUGGGGAAUAUUGCACAAUGGGCGCAAGCCUGAUGCAGCGACGCCGCGUGAGGGAUGACGGCCUUCGGGUUGUAAACCUCUUUCAGUAGGGAAGAAGCGUAAGUGACGGUACCUGCAGAAGAAGCGCCGGCUAACUACGUGCCAGCAGCCGCGGUAAUACGUAGGGCGCAAGCGUUAUCCGGAAUUAUUGGGCGUAAAGAGCUCGUAGGCGGUUUGUCGCGUCUGCUGUGAAAGACCGGGGCUCAACUCCGGUUCUGCAGUGGGUACGGGCAGACUAGAGUGCAGUAGGGGAGACUGGAAUUCCUGGUGUAGCGGUGAAAUGCGCAGAUAUCAGGAGGAACACCGAUGGCGAAGGCAGGUCUCUGGGCUGUAACUGACGCUGAGGAGCGAAAGCAUGGGGAGCGAACAGGAUUAGAUACCCUGGUAGUCCAUGCCGUAAACGUUGGGCACUAGGUGUGGGGGACAUUCCACGUUUUCCGCGCCGUAGCUAACGCAUUAAGUGCCCCGCCUGGGGAGUACGGCCGCAAGGCUAAAACUCAAAGGAAUUGACGGGGGCCCGCACAAGCGGCGGAGCAUGCGGAUUAAUUCGAUGCAACGCGAAGAACCUUACCAAGGCUUGACAUGAACCGGAAGACCUGGAACAGGUGCCCCGCUUGCGGUCGGUUUACAGGUGGUGCAUGGUUGUCGUCAGCUCGUGUCGUGAGAUGUUGGGUUAAGUCCCGCAACGAGCGCAACCCUCGUUCUAUGUUGCCAGCGGUUCGGCCGGGGACUCAUAGGAGACUGCCGGGGUCAACUCGGAGGAAGGUGGGGACGACGUCAAAUCAUCAUGCCCCUUAUGUCUUGGGCUUCACGCAUGCUACAAUGGCCGGUACAAAGGGUUGCGAUACUGUGAGGUGGAGCUAAUCCCAAAAAGCCGGUCUCAGUUCGGAUUGGGGUCUGCAACUCGACCCCAUGAAGUCGGAGUCGCUAGUAAUCGCAGAUCAGCAACGCUGCGGUGAAUACGUUCCCGG
rnacentral:rRNA from 1 species